AAUUUUGCCUCUCUAAUUUUAUUUUUCACACUUUUUCCCUUUUCUUUUAACCAUAGUUUCAGAGAUGAAAGAUGUCUCUGCUAGAGUUUUUUCACUAAUGCUCAUGUUCUUCUCCCAUCUCUUCUACCAUUGUCGCUAUUGCUGCUUGCACUCAGCACUGCCACCACCACUUCUACUGCCGCCACACCACACUUUCCGAUCUCUCUGCGUUGUUGUGCUUCGUCUCUGCCCCUGCAAACUACUCAGAGAAAGACAUCAAAACUACUGCUUUUGAUAAUUCUCAAUGACACAGUGGACUCUUUUAUGGUGCUGAUAACUCUAGUUAUAAUAGAACUUACUAUCAGGAGUCAAUAUAUGCUCAAGCACCACAUAAGAUUUCUGGUGUUCAAUAUUCUGAAAACUAUCAAUACCAAUUUGAUCCUAGAUAUGGAAGAGGAUAUGGUGUUCCUACACCACACCAGCAAUCUCAACAGCCUAAUUUUAUGUGUUCCACCACAGACUGCUCAGGUUCCCCAACCUCUCCAAAUAUUUUAACAUAUAACAACUUAAACCAUUAAGAAACUAACAGUAGCAGCUUUUUGUGUCUUCCUUUGGAGUUGGUGUUCAAUUGUUUCAUGUUUUUGUCAUUGUAAACAAUCACCUCUAGAUUGUUUUG